rnacentral:rRNA from 1 species
CGUUCCCGGGCCUUGUACACACCGCCCGUCAAGUCAACGAAAGUUGGUAACACCCGAAGCCGGUGGCCUAACCCCUUGUGGGAGGGAGCUGUCGAAGGUGGGACUGGCGAUUGGGACU